UUUAUGGAGAGUUUGAUCCUGGCUCAGGAUGAACGCUGGCGGCGUGCCUAAUACAUGCAAGUCGAGCGAACAGAUAAGGAGCUUGCUCCUUUGAAGUUAGCGGCGGACGGGUGAGUAACACGUGGGUAACCUACCUAUAAGACUGGGAUAACUUCGGGAAACCGGAGCUAAUACCGGAUAACAUUUAGAACCGCAUGGUUCUAAAGUGAAAGAUGGUUUUGCUAUCACUUAUAGAUGGACCCGCGCCGUAUUAGCUAGUUGGUAAGGUAACGGCUUACCAAGGCGACGAUACGUAGCCGACCUG
rnacentral:rRNA from 1 species